rnacentral:rRNA from 1 species
CCUACGGGUGGCAGCAGUGAGGAAUCUUGGUCAAUGGGCGAGAGCCUGAACCAGCCAAGCAGCGUGAAGGAAGACUGCCCUACGGGCUGUAAACCUCUUUUAUAAAGGAAUAAAGUCAGGCACGUGUGCCUUCUUGUUUGUACGUUAUGAAUACGGAACGGCACACUCCGUGCCAUCAGCCGCGGUAAUAUGUUGGAUGCGAGCGUUAUCCGGAUUGAUUGGGUUUAAAGGGAGCGUAGGUGGGUUGUUAAGUCAGUUGUGAAAGUCUGGGGCUCAACCGUAAUAGUGCAAUGGAUACUGGGAGACUUGAGUACAGAAGAGGUAGGCGGAAUUCGAGGUGUAGCGGUGAAAUGCGUAGAUAUCUCGAAGAACUCCGAUUGCGAAAGCAGCUUACUAGUCUGUAACUGACACUGAGGUUCGAAAGCGUGGGUAUCAAACAGGAUUAGAUACCCGAGUAGUC